rnacentral:lncRNA from 1 species
AGGAGCUCUAUUUAUAGAGCUCCAGCCAUGUGCGUUUUUGGGGGGAAGGGCAUGGGGCUCGGCACGGGUGUAAGCACGAGCCCCAUGCCUCUUUUAUUAGUUUUGGCCAUAUCCGCCAGUUUCGUCAACAGAAGGUAGGGUCUGGCGAUCACGGGUGGUGGCAUGUAGGGUCUGGUGGUCUGAUGACACAGGUGGUGGCUGUGGUGCCGGGGAUGGCACUACUGCCAUCCUUUAUUUUUUUUUGGCUGUUCUGGCUUGUUUUUUUUUCGAUGUAUUUUUUCAUAUUUUUUUGUAUUAUUUCAUUUUUAUUUUCAUUUUUUUUGUAUUUCGUAUUUAUACGUACUUUGUGUUUUUUUCCUGGACAAAUUGAUGUCCACAGCUGCCCCUCUUUGCACAUUACUGGUAAUCAGUAAUAGGGCAAAGACAAAGACAACAAUUUUGUCCAGAAUCCAAAUGAUUUUUUUUGAAAAUGCUCCUCUCACUUGAGGCUCGACAACUUUAAAAAUCUUGGAAAAGGCUCCUCUCAGCAGAGGCUCAACAACUUUAAAAUCUUGAAAAAGGCUCCUCUCAGCAGAGGCUCAACAACUUUAAAAUCUCAUUUGAAAAAGCUCCUCUCAGCAGAGGCUCAACAACUUUAAAAUCCCUUCUCUUGAAAAAGCUCCUCUCAACAAAGGCUCCACAACUUUAAAAUUCUCAUCUUGGAAAAGCUCCUCUCAACAGAGGCUCCACAACUUUAAAAUCCCUUCUCUUGAAAAAGCUUCUCUCAACAGAGGCUCCACAACUUUAAAAUUUCAUCUUAGAAAGGCUCCUCUCAACAGAGGCUCCACAACUUUAAAAUCUCAUCUGAAAAAGUUCCUCUCAACAGAGGCUCCACAACUUUAAAAUCUUGAAAAAGCUCCUCUCAGCAGAGGCUCCACAACUUUAAAAUUCUCAUCUUGGAAAAGCUUCUCUCAACAAAGGCUCCACAACUUUAAAAUCUCAUUUGAAAAAGCUCCUCUCAACAGAGGCUCCACAACUUUAAAAUCUUGAAAAAGCUCCUCUCAGUAGAGGCUCAACAACUUUAAAAUCUCAUUUGAAAAAGCUCCUCUCAGCAGAGGCUCAACAACUUUAAAAUUCUCAUCUGAAAAGGGCUCCUCUCAACAGAGGCUCAACAACUUUAAAAUUCUCAUCUGAAAAGGGCUCCUCUCAACAGAGGCUCAACAACUUUAAAAUUCUCUCUUCUUUUUCAAAUUUGAGUUCUCAUUUUUGAACAAGUAAAUUUCUCUCUUUUGAAUUCCUUUGUUUGAUCAUUGUCUUUACCAAAAUCUUGUCUUUGAUUAAGAAAUGGAAAUUUUCUACCUUUGUUACAACUUAUCAUGGGUGCAUGUACUGAGUGCUCAUAAUGCAAUGCAUGUAAUGCAGUUAAAAUCGUUCAUUAUAGUAAAAAGGUUCUCGAAAUAUCUCGCUUUCGAUUUCUUUUAUCCGAAUUCUUCUAUGACCAAUCUGUUCUCAACAUCUGACCACAAUAUUUUUCUUCAAAGGUCUGUAACAUCAAUAUCUUGUCAUGUUUUCCUCAUCCUUUUUCAUUUGCCUUUGUCAGCUUUUAAAAAUUAAUGCUAAGAUCUUUCAUGUUUGUUUUUCUUUUCAUCAUUUUAAGUCCAAGACAAAUAAAAUACAAUCACACAUUUCUCUUAUUCACUUGUACGAUGAACAAACAAUAUCAGAUAAGGAUAAAGGAAUGGAUAGGCAUUAUUUUCAAAGGAAAGAUAAUGUAUUUCAUAUGGCUGAUAACAAGUGCAUGUCAAAAUGUUUGAGUUGAAACAAAGGUACCCAAAUAAUGAUCACAAGAUAAUCAUGGACAAAAUAUUCUCAGAUUCUUUCUCUAAAACUAAAUCAGAUGACUUCUUUGAUCAUUCAGAGUUCGUCAAACUACACUUGCCCCUGCAUUAUGGGAUCUUUUCUUGAUGAUGCUUCUGCUUCACAUCUAAGUCGCCUUUUCAGGUUUUCAGCUUAGAUAAGUCAUCAUUUUUUUUUCUUUGUUUUUUCUUUUUUUUUUUUUACCCUUUUUUUUUAAGCAAAAUAUUUUUUCACAACAUCUGAAUUUAUUGGGGUAGGCAAAUCUCCUCCGUCCAUUCCUGCCAAAAUCAAUGCCCCACCAGAAAAGGCCUUUUUCACCACAUACGGGCCUUCCCAAUUUGGUGUCCAUUUCCCCCGAUUAUCAUGUUGAUUUGGAAGGAUUCUUUUUAGCACUAAGUCUCUUUCUCUAAAACAACGAAGAUGAAUUUUCUUGUCAUGUGCUCUCAUCAUCCUCUUUUGAUAUAAUUGACCAUGACAAAGUGCUGACAAUCUUUUCUCUUCAAUGAGGUUUAACUGCUCGUAGCGAUUUCGAACCCAUUUUGCUUCCUCUAACUUUGCCUCCAUCAAGACUCUAAGUGAGGGAAUUUCUACUUCGACCGGUAGCACAGCUUCCAUUCCAUAUACCAAAGAGAAUGGUGUGGCCCUAGUAGAUGUUCUGACUGACGUUCUAUAAGCAUGCAAGGCAAAAGGUAACUUCUCAUGCCAAUCUUUGUAAUUUUUAGUCAUUUUCUCCAGGAUUCUUUUGAUAUUCUUAUUCGCAGCCUCCACUGCCCCGUUCAUUUUCGGACGAUAUGGUGCCGAAUUACGAUGGCGAAUCUUGAGCUGAGUGCAUACUUCAUUCAUCAUUUUGUUGUUCAAGUUUUUGGCAUUAUCAGAAAUAAUUAUCUCUGGAAGCCCAUAUCUGCAUAUUAUCUCUCUUUUUAUGAACUUACAUACCACAGAUCGGGUCACGCUAGCAUAUGAUGCAGCUUCUACCCAUUUGGUGAAAUAAUCAAUCAUCACAAAAAUGAAUCUAUGCCCAUUCGAAGCUUUUGGAGUAAUGGGACCAAUGACAUCCAUGCCCCACAUAGAGAAUGGCCAGGAAGGAGCUAGAACAUGUAAUGUUAAUGGCGGAGCAUGAAUCUUGUCAGCAUAAAUCUGACAUUUAUGACAUUUUUUGGCAUAACCAAUACAGUCACUCUCCAUUGUCAACCAAUAGUAUCCAGCCCUCAUAAUUUGUCUAGCCAUCAUAUGACCAUUUGCAUGUGACCCACAAACUCCAUCAUGUAUUUCUUCAAUAAUCUUUUUCGCUUCAGCUGUAUUCACACAUCUUAAGAGUACUUGAUCUCGACCCCUUUUAUAGAGAACUUCUCCGUCAAGAAAGAAACUCAUAGCCAACCUUCUGAUGGUUCUCUUAUCAUUUUCUGUUAUAUGCUCUGGGUAUUGCUGGCUUUUAAUGUAUUGCAUGAUGUCAUGAUACCAUGGUUUUCCAUCAACUUCUUCUUCAACACCUGAACAAUGCGUUGGUUCAUCUUUCACAUCCAGCUUGAUGGGUUGAAUUUCAGUAUUUGCAUCUAUUUUAAUCAUUGCAGCUAGAGUAGCCAGUGCAUCAGCAAUUUGGUUUUUCUCUCUAGGCAAAUGCUCGAAUUGAACUUCUUCGAAUUGUUUAACCAAUUGAGAGAUGUACUUAUGGUACUGUAUCAACUUAGAAUCUCUGGUUUCCCAUUCUCCUCGUAACUGAUAGAUGACUAGAGCUGAAUCUCCAAACACAUCUAAUACUUUGAUCUUCUUUUCAAUUGCUGCUUGUAGACCCAUAACACAGGCCUCAUAUUCAGCCACAUUGUUUGUGCAAUUAAAAUUUAACCUGGCUGUAAUGGGAUAAUAGUGCCCAUCAGGAGAUAUUAAAAUUGCCCCAAUACCAUGACCCAAAGCAUUAGCAGCUCUAUCGAAAUACAUCCUCCAAGAAUUUUCAACAGGUUCAUUUUCUUCAAUGGCCAUCACAUCUUCAUCAGGGAACUCCAGGUUCAUGGGUUCAUAAUUUUCAAUAGCAUGAUCAGCAAGGAACUCGGCUAUAGCACUUCCUUUUAUAGCUUUUUGAGUCACAUAAAUGAUAUCGUAUUCUGAAAGCAUAACUUGCCAUCGCGCUAUUCUUCCUGUCAAUGAAGGUUUUUCGAAGAUAUACUUAAUAGGAUCCCACUUUGCAAUGAGCCAAGUAGUGUGAUAAAGCAUAUAUUGUCUAAGCCUUCGAGUUGUCCAGGCUAAUGCACAACAUAUCUUCUCUAAUGGUGAAUACUUGGACUCAUAAUCAGUGAAUUUUUUGCUCAAGUAGUAUAUUGCUCGUUCCUUCCUGUCAGUUUCAUCUCUUUGCCCCAGCACACAUCCCAUGGAAUUUUCAUGCACUGUUAAGUAUAAGAUCAAAGGUUUUUUCGAGAUUGGAGGCACCAACACAGGUGGAUUUGACAAGUAUUCUUUGAUCUUAUCAAAAGCUUCUUGGCAUUCAUCAUUCCAUUCUUCUGGAUCAUAUUUUCUGAGAAGCUUGAAAAUAGGAUCGCACUUAUAAGUGAGUUGAGAGAUGAAACGAGCAAUAUAGUUUAGUCUCCCUAGGAAACCUCGCACUUCUUUUGGGGUAAGAGGAGGAGAUAAGUUUUGGAUGGCUUGUAUCUUAUCCGGGUCCACUUCAAUUCCUUUUUCACUGACUACAAAGCCCAAUAGUUUUCCUGAUUUGGCUCCAAAUGUACAUUUGGCAGGAUUCAACUUCAACUGAAAUCUUCUCAACCUGUCGAACAGCUUUUUGAGAUUGACUAUAUGAUCCUUCUCCUUCACGAGAUUUUGCAAUCAUAUCAUCACAUACACUUCUAUCUCUUUAUGCAUCAUGUCAUGAAAAAGAGUCACCAUUGCUCUUUGAUAAGUAGCACCAGCAUUUUUCAACCCAAAAGGCAUGACUUUGUAACAGAAUGUUCCCCACAUGGUCACAAAUGUAGUUUUCUCCAUAUCAUCUCGAGCCAUCUUGAUCUGAUUAUAGCCUGAGAAACCAUCCAUAAAGGAAAAUGUGGAGUGCCUAGCAGUAUUAUCCACUAGAGUAUCGAUGUGAGGUAAAGGAAAGUUAUCCUUAGGGCUUGCUCUAUUCAAAUCUCGAUAAUCGACACACAUUCUCACUUUUCCAUCCUUCUUAGGAACUGGCACUAUGUUGGCUACCCAUUCAGGAUAUUUUGCCACUUCAAAAAUCCAGCAUCGAAUUGUUUCUUCACUUCCUCUUUAAUUUUCAGCAGCAUCUCUGGUUUCAUGCGCCUUAGCUUUUGCUGCAUCGGCUUACAUCCUGGUUUUAAAGGUAACUUGUGCUCUACAAUAUCAGUGCUGAGUCCUGGCAUAUCCUGGUAAGUCCAUGCGAACACAUCUACAUAUUCUCAGAGCAUCUUCUAGCUUCUGUCUUUCAGCUGGUAAAAGAGAUGUACCAACUUUGACCUCUCUUUUAUUCUCACCAUCUCCCAAAUUUACUGAUUCAGUAAUUUCUUGGUGGGGUUCAAUUGGCUUAUCUUCAUGUUCCAUUAAUUUUAACAAAUCAAGAGGCAGUGUAUAGUUAUCUGAAUCUUCCUCAUUAUCAAGUUCGUCAACAUGAAUUAAGUUUUCGAAAUCAAUUCUGAGAUUAUUGUCAUGAUUAUCUUCGUGUUCAUUGUUUGAGACCCUGCAAAGGGUAAGAUGAAGAGAAUAUUGGCACACAAAAAUGGAAUGGCAAGAAAAUGUAGGAGAGAAAAGAAUGAAAGGUAAAAUGAAGAUAAAAACAAUAGAAAAAAUGUGGAUGCAUCUUCUAAGUCUUUUAUUAAAACGACAAACAUAAACACACCAUAAAAGAUCUUCCAAUACUCAUAGAAAGUAAUUAGGGAUUUAAAGUUCAUAAUACAUUACUUUUCCAAAGUUUUAAAAACAACAGGCAGCUCUGUAACUUUCCAAUUAUCCAGCUCAAAAUCUGAAGGACAAGGGUACACGAACAGCUCUUCACUUUUACUCUUCUUUUCUUCAUCAUCCACCAUUUGAAUGGUCAUCUCUGAAAAUUUUUCCUCGAAUCCUGCGCUUGGGGCUCCCGGUAAAUCUGGAUAAAUGUAUCCUCCCGAGUGAAAAGAAUCAUAGAGGUAUGGAAUGACUAUGGGCUCUGACUCCAGCUCAUAUCCCUUAAGAUUAGCUAUCCUCUUAUCUCUUUUUUCAUUCAUCAUUCUUGUUCUGUCCCCUCUCGUUGGCUUAUAUCCCAAGCCAAAUCUGUCUUUCUUUUCAUAUAUGAUCGAUGGCUCUGUGAUUCCUUGCAGGUUCUUCCUAAGUCCAACUUUAGGUCGCCAUCCCAUCUUGGUAAGCUGUUUGACUACCAUUUUAGUCAUCGUAGACAAGUGUGGCGAAUACAAUUUAGAUCCUUCAGCUAUAUAUGUUGCAUUGGCAAUCUCGAAGGACCGAUAAGAGCAUUCUAAAGCUUCAUCUGCUGAUUCCACAUAAGGAGUGUUUAUCGGUUAAGUUACCAAUAAAUCUUCUUCUCAUGCCACACAUGUUAGCUUCCCUUCAACAAUGAAUUUGACUUUUUGAUGUAAUGAGGAUGGAAUAGCACCUGCCAUAUGGAUCCAUGGCCUACCCAAUAAACAACUGUAUGAAGGAGAGAUGUCCAUGACUUGAAAAUUCACAUUGAAAGUGCAUGGGCCAAUCUGUAAUGGCACUUCUAUAUCUCCUAGCACCUCUCUUCUAGUUCCAUCAAAGGCUCUCACUAUCAUAUGACUAGGUUUCAUAUAAGAUCCAUCAAUAGGGAGUUUUGCCAAAGUAGUCACAGGCAUAACAUUGAUGGAUGAGCCAUUAUCAAUCAAAACCUUAGCCAUUAUAUGACUUUUACAUUUCACAGUAAUGUGAAGAGCCUUGGUACUUCCUCUACCUUCAGGAGGAAUUUCUUCAUCACUGAAAGAGAUAUAGUUUGAAAUUGUCAGAUUGCCAACAAGCUGUUCCACAUAUUCAACAGAAGCAUUGUGAGACACAUAUGCUUGAUUUAGCACUUUCAGCAAAGCAUUACGGUGUGACUCUGAACUGAGCAAUAAUGACAAUAGCGAAAUUCUAGCUGGCAUCUUGUUAAGCUGUUCUACCACGCUAUACUCGCUAUGUUUUAUUAACUUCAAAAAUUCACCUGCUUCACUCUCAGAUACUGGCUUCUGCCAUUCUUUUUCUAGGGUUGUGUCAAGACCACUCUGACUUUCAUUUUUUCUCCUACCUUGGCUUUUUCCUUUCUAGCUUUUUCUAGAGCUUCUGGGGUAUAACACCUCCCACUUCGAGUUAUGCCUCCUACACCCGUUAUGUUGGCAGUAUCUGGGUUGACUACGACAUCAUAAUCAUACUUCCAAGGUACUGCUUUAUCAUUCUGAUAUGAAAAAGGGCCAGAACUUUAAUUGUCACCACUGGUCGAGAGACGGGCUUUUCUAGCUUUGAUGUUGGCUUUUCAUCAUAAUAGAUAGUUACCGGUCUACGUACAAACUUAUUCUUUGAAUCAAUGGUAGACACUUCAGCUUUCACCAACUCUUCUCUUUCUUGGUAAAACUCUAUUCGACCCUCAUCAUCAAUUUUUGCACCUCUUGACGAAAUUGGUGACAAUUUUCGAUAGAAUGCCCCAGAACACCUCUGUGAUAAUUGCAGCUUUCAGUUGAGUUAUUAUUUCAGAGCAAUUUUGAGGUUCUAUUGGCUUCAACAUGUCAGCUUUGACCAAUACUUCGAACACCUUAGCCAUAGGAGUUUUGACCUCUUCUAUUCUUCUUUUCACAUAGCUUGUUUGCCCAUCAACCAAAGCAUUUAUUGAUGGUCUGGUAUGAUUUGGUAGAGGGUUCCCAUUGAUAUUUGGAGUCCCUUGUUGGCUGGUAUCAAAAUUUAAUACUCCUUCAUUGAUUAACCCUUGUACUUUACGUUUCAAAGCAGUACAGUUCUCAGUGGAAUGACCUGGAUUCCCAUAGUGAUAAUCACAAUGUGCAUUGGGGUCAUACCAUUUGGGAAACGGAGGUUUCAUAGGUUCAAUGAUAACAGGAGCAAGCAAAUGUUUCUCAACAAGUCGAGGAUACAAAUCUGUAUAUGUCAUGGGAAUGGGAUCGAAAGUGAGUUUUUCUUGGGUAUUUCUUGGGGCUCUUGGACCACUAUUAGGUCUCCAGUCUGGUCUUAUAGGUAUAACAGGACGAUUAUAGGAAUAAGUGGGUGUUCGAAAGGAUGGCUGAAAACGGGGUGAAUAAGCUGGUUGUGGUAAUGACUGGUAUGAUUGAUAUGAAUGGGGGGUGGAUGUAACAUGGUUUACAGAAGGGUAAUGGGUUUGGUAGACUGGUACAGAGUAGGUGUGAAACCUCUGAAUUGUUGCCCCAUAUUUACUGCUUGGGCCUCAUUCUCUUUCUUUUUAGGAGCUCCACUUUUCUUGCUCCACUUGUCUCUCCACAUCGAGCUUACCAUUUUUAUGGCAUUUUCAAUGAUCUCACCUGAUAUCACCAUAUCUGUAAAGUUCUUGGUUGCAUUGCCUAUCAAUCUCUCAUAAUAUGGUGCUUUCAAGGUGUUCACAAAUAAAACAGUUGUUUCUUUUCAGUGAGAGGAGGUUGAACUUGUGCAGCCACAUCUCUCCACCUUUGUGCAUACUCCUUGAAGUUUUCAGUUACUUUCUUUUCCAUGCUUUGAAGAGAUAGACGAUCUGGAAUCAUAUCCGUGACAUGGCGAUAUUGUGUAAGGAAUGCCUUUGUAAGCUCUUGCUAAGAACGAAUACGAGUUCUAUCUAGUUGGACAUACCAUCUAGCUGCAGAACCCGUGAGACUAUCUUGAAAUAUGUGCAUUAACAACUUCUCGUCUCGAGCAUAUGCUGCUAUCUUUCGACAAUACAUGAUGAUGUGGGUCAUUGGGCAUUUUGUGCCAUCAUAUUUUUCAAAUUCAGGGACCUUGAAUUUAGUUGGAAUUACCACGUCUGGAACUAAACAAAGGUCAGCCGCAUCUGUGGAGCCAUAAAAAUUCAUUCCCUCUACAGCCCUAAGCCUUUCUUCCAAUAACUUCAUCUUCUCCCGAGCACUGGUAUCUUCUACCUUUUCAGGCGUCUGCAUCCCUAGCUUUUCUCUUUCUUUGGGAUCAUCCAAAUCGGGAACUAGGAUUGGCUCAGGUGGUCUUUCCAUCAUAAUGGGAUUAACAAAAUUUUGAAAUUGUCCUGGAGCAAGUGUGGAUGUCAUUCCUGGAUAAGGAUUAGGAUAUCCACCAGGAGUAGGAAUUGGUACUCUAGUUCCUUGUGAAGGUUGGUUCAGUCGUGGCUCAAACCCUGGAGGAUAGACAGGAUCUACCAUAUCUGGCGAUUGCUCUUGAAAGCUAGGAUUUUCUUCCACUGCUUUUCCUUGUCAAGUUUCUUGAGCAUAUCCAUUAUUGGCUAAGAUCUCCUUUAGUUCUUCUUGAGCUUUUCAAUUCUCUCAAAUCGACUGGCUGUUCUUGCUCCAUGAUUCUUGUCUGUGUCCUGGUAUUGUAUGAAUGACGAGUAGGUUGGACCGAAAUUUUUGAUGGGCGAGCUAUUCUUGAACCUUUAUUACCACAAAGUUUUUUUUUGAAAAAAAAAAAUUAGAAUGCUAUGUGUUAAAUUUUAUUUUUGAAAAAAUUUUUUUUAAAAAAUGAUGCAAAUGAUGCAUGAAUGCAAAAAAAAAAUAUUUGAUAUGAUUAAUGCAAAAAGAAAAAGAGAAAGAAACAAAAUUGAGUUAGUGUGAGGAUGUGGUUUAAGAAAAAAACAUUUUUUUUUUUUUGUUUUUUUUGUUUUGAGAUUUUUUUUGUUUGUUUUGUUUCGUAUUAUACACAACUUUUAUUCUUAGGUAUUUUCUACAAGAAGGUGGACGGGCUCUACAUAAGGCUGGUUUCCUAGGCUUAUUAUAUGCUGGGUUUGGAUUGACAGGGUCUAAAGGUUCCCAAAUUGUUCCUCACUGUCGUCCAUAUUGGACUAGUAAGGCACCCCGAUCCUCACCCAUUACAGGCUACGAACGGAAAGGGUUCAAUUCGAGUGGAAGUAUUUCGCUUGCCAUUGCGGAGGUUAUCACCUCACGAGAGCAUAGGUACUUUACUUCCUCCUAUAAAGGACGGAGCCCGGGUAUAGAGCUCAUGUAUGAGAUGCAUCGUGCCAUUGUGUGCAAAUAUAUCCUAAUUUAUUGAGCAAUAUAUAAAAUAAAACAUAAGAGGCAUAGUAAGAUAAAUGUAUGUGAAUUUUUUGCUUUUUAUUUGAUUUGUUUUGUUUUGUUUGGUUUUGUUUUUUUUUUACCUUUUUUUUUUUACUAAGAAAUUGAUUAAGACUAUUUAAAUCAAAAUUUGAGGAUAACAAGUAGUUAAUUUUGGCCUGACUCUCGAAAACAAAAGGCGUCCCCAGCGGAGUCGCCAAGCUGUCGUAACGGUUUUGUGUCCGCCCGAUGAAUUUGGAAACAAAAUAAAAAAAACUAACGGAGUCGCCACCAAUCUUUUUUGGCUAGGUGCGAUUGGCCACCUAUUAAAACAUAUCUUUUUAAUGAAAUCUUAAAAUUAAUUAAAAUUUAUUAAAAAGAUAAUUUUAUGGUCUGCGAAACAGUCUGGGUUCGGGAGUCGGUUACGUGUGGGGAAGGAUUAGCACCCCCACAACGCCCGUUAAAAACGGUACGAAUUAACUACAUGUUAUCCUUUGAUUUUAACACAAACAGUCUAUUUUCAAUAUUCGAAAAAAAAAUUUUCUUGAUUUUUUUAUUUAUUAAAAAAAAUAUCUCGAGAAAAAAUAAAUCAAAUCCUUUUUAUUGAAAUAAUUCUUAGAGAACUGUAACAUUAAAGACUUCUUAACAAGAAGAAUCUAUUCUAAGAAACUGAAUUUAUGUUCGAAAUUAUAAGAUUAUUUAAAUUUUACGAAUAAACUUUUAGAAAUAAUCUUUUGAGUCUGAAAAUUUACUUUUCUAUGAAAUUUAUAUCACUCGUUUAGUUAUGUACCCAUGAAAAUAUAGUUAUCAAAUAAUGUUGAAUGCACACAUCUUUUUCAAAAAUUUCAUUAAUUGUUUUAUUAAUUUUUUAAUUAAAAAUAAAUUUUGAAGAAAAAAGGAAUUUAAUUAUAUUGAAAUUUUCUAUAAAUAUUCCAAUAUCGCUGGUAGAUAUUUUAAGAAAUACUCUCACCUAGAGUUUCUUAAAGCAUCUCUACUCGGAAUACUUUAGAAUCCCAUCAUUGGAUUAAAUUUCUUUCCUUCUUAUUUUUAUUACUUAUUUUUAAUAUAUUAAUCAAUUUUUAUUUAUUAUUAAAAAAAAUGAAAUUUUUAUUUGAAGAAAAGUGAAAUUUUUAUUAUAUUGAAGAUUUUCUAUAAAUAUUCCAAUACACUGGUAAUAUUUUACAAAAAAUCUUCUCACCUAGAGAUUUCAUAGGCAUCACUACUCGGAAUACCUUUGAAUCUCAUCGUCGGAUAAAAAUUUCAUUUUCCUACAUUUUUGUUAGUUUAUUAUUAUUAUUAAAUUUAUUUUUAUAUUAUUGUUUUUAAAGUUUAUUUUAAAAAUUAACAUAAUUACACAAAAAAUUAACCACAAUUCCAUCAUUUAAUCUAACAAAUAUAAUCAUUUUAAUAUGCAUAAAUAUUAAUAAAAUAAUAUAUAAAAAAUAAGAAAAAUAAAAAAAAAAAAAAAAAAAAAUUUUUUACCUGAACCGGACCGGUCAACGGUCCGGUCAACGUACGGUUCGGUUCGGCGGUUCGGUCUGGCGGUUUGGUUCGGUCUGGCAAUGGUUCAAGCGCGGUCCGGAUCGGCCUGGGCGGUCUGGACCGAUUCAGAUGGACCGGUCAGCGGCUGAUGGAGAAGUGGGUCAUCGGGUCGGUUGCGCGGACCCUGGGUCGGGUCGCGGGUUGACGCGCGAAUCCUCCUUCGUCUAAACGACGUCGUUUUGGGCCUUUAAUGAAACGGCAUCGUUUUGGUUCUGACGGUUUAUAUAAAAGUUAAAGAUUUUUUUUUUUCAUUCAUUUCUUCCCUUUCUCAGCAAAAAAAAACCUCAUCUUUUUUUUGAUUCUCUCUUCCCAGCCGACCUGGGGCCGGUGGCCGUCCGUCGCGACGGCCGCCGCAGUCCUUGCCGACGGCGAGCUCCGACCGCCGUCGACGGUGUCGAAAAAUUCUAAAAAUCUCUCACAAACUUCUUUUGAUCCUCUGAACACAGAUCCAAUGUUCUUUUCACCAGAAAAGGUCACAAAAUCCCUAGAUCUGCUGGGGAAGUUUCGGUGAAACUAUAACUUUUAGUGUUCUAACUCUUUUUUUCUUUCUUCUUCGUGCAGAAAGCUCGGCGCUGGGUUCCUCCCUACGGGGAGGACUGUGUAUAUUUUUUUGUGUUUUUUUUCUUUUUUUGGCAGCGUCUCCUUUCUUUUUUUUUUUUUUUUCUUUCGCCAGGAGCUCUAUUUAUAGAGCUCCAGCCAUGUGCGUUUUUGGGGGAAGGGCAUGGGGCUCGCAUGGGUGUAAGCACGAGCCCAUGCCUCUUUUAUUACUUUUGGCCAUAUCCGCCAGUUUCGUCAACGGAAGGUAGGGUCUGGCGAUCACGGGUGGUGGCAUGUAGGGUCUGGUGGUCUGAUGACACAGGUGGUGGCAGUGGUGCCGGGGAUGGCACCACUGCCAUCCUUUAUUUUUUUGGCUGUUCUGGCUUGUUUUUUUUUCGAUGUAUUUUUUCAUAUUUUUUUGUAUUAUUUCAUUUUUAUUUUCAUUUUUUUUGUAUUUCGUAUUUAUACGUACUUUG